rnacentral:rRNA from 1 species
UACGAGGGGCAAGCGUUGUUCGGAAUUAUUGGGCGUAAAGGGCGCGUAGGCGGUUUGACAAGUCUGAUGUGAAAUCUCUGGGCUCAAACCCAGAGUCCGCAUUAGAAACUGUCGGGCUUGAGUAUGGGAGAGGUGAGUGGAAUUUCCGGUGUAGCGGUGAAAUGCGUAGAUAUCUGGAGGAACACCGGUGGCGAAGGCGGCAUCCUGGACCAUUACUGACACUGAAAAGCGAAAGCCAGGGAGCAAACGGG